AACGAACGCUGGCGGCAUGCCUAACACAUGCAAGUCGAACGAAACCUUCGGGUCUAGUGGCGCGCGGGUGCGUAACGCGUGGGAACCUGCCCUUAGGUUCGGAAUAACUCCCCGAAAGGGGUGCUAAUACCGGAAAUGUCUUCGGACCAAAGAUUUAUCGCCUUUGGAUGGGGCCGCGUUGGGUUAGCUAGUUGGUAGGGUAAAAGCCUACCAAGGCGACGAUGCAUAGCUGGGCUGAGAGGAUGAUCAGCCACACUGGGACUGCGACACGGCCCAGAACCGUACGGGAGGCAGCAGUGGGGAAUAUUGGAGGAUGGGCGAAAGCCUGAUACAGCAAUGCGGCGUGAGUGAUGAAGGCCUUAGGGUUGUAAAGCUCUUUUACCCGGGAUGAUAAUGACAGUACCGGGAGAAUAAGCUCCGGCUAACUACGUG
rnacentral:rRNA from 1 species